GAUGAACGCUGGCGGCGUGCCUAAUACAUGCAAGUCGAGCGAACAGAUAAGGAGCUUGCUCCUUUGACGUUAGCGGCGGACGGGUGAGUAACACGUGGGUAACCUACCUAUAAGACUGGGAUAACUUCGGGAAACCGGAGCUAAUACCGGAUAAUAUUUCGAACCGCAUGGUUCGAUAGUGAAAGAUGGUUUUGCUAUCACUUAUAGAUGGACCCGCGCCGGAUUAGCUAGUUGGUAAGGUAACGGCUUACCAAGGCGACGAUACGUAGCCGACCUGAGAGGGUGAUCGGCCACACUGGAACUGAGACACGGUCCAGACUCCUACGGGAGGCAGCAGUAGGGAAUCUUCCGCAAUGGGCGAAAGCCUGACGGAGCAACGCCGCGUGAGUGAUGAAGGUCUUCGGAUCGUAAAACUCUGUUAUUAGGGAAGAACAUACGUGUAAGUAACUGUGCACGUCUUGACGGUACCUAAUCAGAAAGCCACGGCUAACUACGUG
rnacentral:rRNA from 1 species